rnacentral:rRNA from 1 species
GAUGAACGCUGGCGGCGUGCCUAAUACAUGCAAGUCGAGCGAACAGACGAGGAGCUUGCUCCUCUGACGUUAGCGGCGGACGGGUGAGUAACACGUGGAUAACCUACCUAUAAGACUGGGAUAACUUCGGGAAACCGGAGCUAAUACCGGAUAAUAUAUUGAACCGCAUGGUUCAAUAGUGAAAGACGGUUUUGCUGUCACUUAUAGAUGGAUCCGCGCCGCAUUAGCUAGUUGGUAAGGUAACGGCUUACCAAGGCAACGAUGCGUAGCCGACCUGAGAGGGGGAUCGGCCACACUGGAACUGAGACACGGUCCAGACUCCUAAGGGAGGCAGCAGUAGGGAAUCUUCCGCAAUGGGCGAAAGCCUGACGGAGCAACGCCGCGUGAGUGAUGAAGGGCUUCGGAUCGUAAAACUCUGUUAUUAGGGAAGAACAAAUGUGUAAGUAACUAUGCACGUCUUGACGGUACCUAAUCAGAAAGCCACGGCUAACUACGUG